UAUUUAACAAUGAUUGGAAGUAGUAAUGAAUAUUGUUUGACUCGCAGAGAGAUGAUGGCAGGUGAAAAUCAUCGCAAACGAUUCAUGAACUCGUCCAGGAGUUUUUGUGCUGAAAUUAGUAAGCAUGAACGGCAGCUACCGUUAUAGCCUAAGUGAGCUUACAUGCUAAACAGAGUGGUACCGCGGAUAACUUCGUCUCUAUA
rnacentral:ncRNA from 1 species